rnacentral:rRNA from 1 species
UACGGGGGGAGCAAGCGUUGUUCGGAUUUACUGGGCGUAAAGGGCGCGUAGGCGGCCACCGCAAGUCAGUUGUGAAAUCUCUGGGCUUAACCCAGAAAGGUCAACUGAUACUGCGGGGCUAGAGUGCAGAAGGGGCAACUGGAAUUCUCGGUGUAGCGGUGAAAUGCGUAGAUAUCGAGAGGAACACCUGUGGCGAAGGCGACCCCCUGGUUGGAUACUGACGCUGAGACGCGAAAGCGUGGGGAGCAAACAGG